rnacentral:lncRNA from 1 species
UUUUUUUCUGUCAGGAAAGCCUUUUCUAUUAGUAAUAUUCUUCUAAUUAGAGUGCUGCCCUGCAGGAGCCAUACCUGCAUCUUCUUUCAGACAUCUUCAUGAACCCCAGAAACAGAUUGGACAAGAAAAGCAGUUUUCUAUGAGAGAAAUUCCAGUGAGCUCAGGGGAGGCUCAGGGGUGGGCCCAGCUAUUUCUUCACUUACAGACCUUCAAGAUUUCUGCACAGGAGCAUUCUCUUAUUGGCAGUUGAUCUCAGCCUCUAGGGGACAGGACACAAUCAGUUGGGCAGGUCCUCAAAUGCAGAUUUCCUGCAGACUUCUCCAAAGUGUGAGGUAGGCUCCUGUUUACAGCUUUG